ACUCCUACGGGAGGCAGCAGUGGGGAAUUUUGGACAAUGGGGGCAACCCUGAUCCAGCCAUUCCGCGUGAGUGAAGAAGGCCUUCGGGUUGUAAACCGCUUUCGGCCGGGAAGAAAUCGCCGUUUUAAUAGGGAUGGUGGAUGACGGUACCGGAAGAAGAAGCACCGGCUAACUACGUGCCAGCAGCCGCGGUAAU
rnacentral:rRNA from 1 species